rnacentral:rRNA from 1 species
AGAUUGAACGCUGGCGGCAGGCCUAACACAUGCAAGUCGAGCGGUAGAGAGGUGCUUGCACCUCUUGAGAGCGGCGGACGGGUGAGUAAUGCCUAGGAAUCUGCCUAGUGGUGGGGGAUAACGUUCGGAAACGGACGCUAAUACCGCAUACGUCCUACGGGAGAAAGCGGGGGACCUUCGGGCCUCGCGCCAUUAGAUGAGCCUAGGUCGGAUUAGCUAGUUGGUGAGGUAAUGGCUCACCAAGGCGACGAUCCGUAACUGGUCUGAGAGGAUGAUCAGUCACACUGGAACUGAGACACGGUCCAGACUCCGUACGGGGAGCAGCGAGGUAGGGGAAUA